rnacentral:misc_RNA from 1 species
GAGAAAAAAUUUGUGCAGCUAAUUAGUUGUAAUUUAUCAACUUCAGUAAAAUUUUAUAUCUAGCGUAAGUUCUUCUUCACUGAUUUGCUAUGUGCAAUAUGAUUAAUGAUUAAAUUAGUAGCAGAAUAUAGAUGCUAAUUAUCCUUUGAUUUUUGUCAUGUAGUUCUUCACUAACUUGGUCCUGUCACUAGAACAGGUGUGUAU